rnacentral:rRNA from 1 species
CGUAAGACUAACAGGAUUCCCCUAGUAGCGGCGAGCGAAGCGGGAAGAGCUCAAAUUUAUAAUCUGGCACCUUCGGUGUCCGAGUUGUAAUCUCUAGAAGUGUUUUCCGCGUUGGACCGCACACAAGUCUGUUGGAAUACAGCGGCAUAGUGGUGAAACCCCCGUAUAUGGUGCGGACGCCCAGCGCUUUGUGAUACACUUUCAAUGAGUCGAGUUGUUUGGGAAUGCAGCUCAAAUUGGGUGGUAAAUUCCAUCUAAAGCUAAAUAUUGGCGAGAGACCGAUAGCGAACAAGUACCGUGAGGGAAAGAUGAAAAGCACUUUGGAAAGAGAGUUAACAGUACGUGAAAUUGUUGGAAGGGAAACGCUUGAAGUCAGACUUGCUUGCCGGAGCUUGCUUCGGUUUGCAGGCCAGCAUCAGUUUUCCGGGGUGGAUAAUGACGGUUUGAAGGUAGCAGUCUCGGCUGUGUUAUAGCUUUCCGUUGGAUACAUCCUGGGGGACUGAGGAACGCAGCGUGCUUUUUGCGAAAGACUCGUCUUUUUCACGCUUAGGAUGCUGGUGGAAUGGCUUUAAACGACCCGUCUUGAAACACGGACCAAGGAGUCUAACAUGCUCGCGAGUAUUUGGGUGUCAAACCCGGAUGCGCAAUGA